rnacentral:lncRNA from 1 species
AGAAAAUUCAUUUCUCUCAAAAACUCAUUUCCUUCAUUUUUGAACUUUCUGCAAAAACCUUCAAAGAGCAUGAGCUUGGGAUGUCUAUUUCAUCAUAUGCCACCAUUUUGGAACCCUUUGAAGACGUGAUAACCCAGCUGUAAAGUCAUUUCGUGGCACUGUUCCAUCAAGCUCUUCCAUGGCAGCUCAUGAUUAAGGGAAAAUGGAGCACCAUUGAACCGAGAUUCUUCAUCCAUUCUUCAACCUGGACUAUAUGGAGCUUCUGUUUUCAGCUUUUGUAGCUCAAAGACCGCAAAUCCAGCUCUGCCAUAAAUUAAAGGUCAGUUUUCCAUAAUCGAAAUUCAUGAAAUUAUGGUAGGUUUCUUGUAGAUCUUUGAGCGUAGUUUGCAAUGAACUUUGAACCAUGGAUUUUCAUCGAGUAUUAAAG